rnacentral:rRNA from 1 species
GGUUAAGCGACUAAGCGUACACGGUGGAUGCCCUGGCAGUCAGAGGCGAUGAAGGACGUGCUAAUCUGCGAUAAGCGUCGGUAAGGUGAUAUGAACCGUUAUAACCGGCGAUUUCCGAAUGGGGAAACCCAGUGUGUUUCGACACACUAUCAUUAACUGAAUCCAUAGGUUAAUGAGGCGAACCGGGGGAACUGAAACAUCUAAGUACCCCGAGGAAAAGAAAUCAACCGAGAUUCCCCCAGUAGCGGCGAGCGAACGGGGAGCAGCCCAGAGCCUGAAUCAGUGUGUGUGUUAGUGGAAGCGUCUGGAAAGGCGCGCGAUACAGGGUGACAGCCCCGUACACAAAAAUGCACAUACUGUGAGCUCGAUGAGUAGGGCGGGACACGUGGUAUCCUGUCUGAAUAUGGGGGGACCAUCCUCCAAGGCUAAAUACUCCUGACUGACCGAUAGUGAACCAGUACCGUGAGGGAAAGGCGAAAAGAACCCCGGCGAGGGGAGUGAAAAAGAACCUGAAACCGUGUACGUACAAGCAGUGGGAGCACAGAGCAAUCUGUGUGACUGCGUACCUUUUGUAUAAUGGGUCAGCGACUUAUAUUCUGUAGCAAGGUUAACCGAAUAGGGGAGCCGAAGGGAAACCGAGUCUUAACUGGGCGUUAAGUUGCAGGGUAUAGACCCGAAACCCGGUGAUCUAGCCAUGGGCAGGUUGAAGGUUGGGUAACACUAACUGGAGGACCGAACCGACUAAUGUUGAAAAAUUAGCGGAUGACUUGUGGCUGGGGGUGAAAGACCAAUCAAACCGGGAGAUAGCUGGUUCUCCCCGAAAGCUAUUUAGGUAGCGCCUCGUGAAUUCAUCUCCGGGGGUAGAGCACUGUUUCGGCAAGGGGGUCAUCCCGACUUACCAACCCGAUGCAAACUGCGAAUACCGGAGAAUGUUAUCACGGGAGACACACGGCGGGUGCUAACGUCCGUCGUGAAGAGGGAAACAACCCAGACCGCCAGCUAAGGUCCCAAAGUCAUGGUUAAGUGGGAAACGAUGUGGGAAGGCCCAGACAGCCAGGAUGUUGGCUUAGAAGCAGCCAUCAUUUAAAGAAAGCGUAAUAGCUCACUGGUCGAGUCGGCCUGCGCGGAAGAUGUAACGGGGCUAAACCAUGCACCGAAGCUGCGGCAGCGACGCUGAUGCGUUGUUGGGUAGGGGAGCGUUCUGUAAGCCUGUGAAGGUGUGCUGUGAGGCAUGCUGGAGGUAUCAGAAGUGCGAAUGCUGACAUAAGUAACGAUAAAGCGGGUGAAAAGCCCGCUCGCCGGAAGACCAAGGGUUCCUGUCCAACGUUAAUCGGGGCAGGGUGAGUCGACCCCUAAGGCGAGGCCGAAAGGCGUAGUCGAUGGGAAACAGGUUAAUAUUCCUGUACUUGGUGUUACUGCGAAGGGGGGACGGAGAAGGCUAUGUUGGCCGGGCGACGGUUGUCCCGGUUUAAGCGUGUAGGCUGGUUUUCCAGGCAAAUCCGGAAAAUCAAGGCUGAGGCGUGAUGACGAGGCACUACGGUGCUGAAGCAACAAAUGCCCUGCUUCCAGGAAAAGCCUCUAAGCAUCAGGUAACAUCAAAUCGUACCCCAAACCGACACAGGUGGUCAGGUAGAGAAUACCAAGGCGCUUGAGAGAACUCGGGUGAAGGAACUAGGCAAAAUGGUGCCGUAACUUCGGGAGAAGGCACGCUGAUAUGUAGGUGAAGUCCCUCGCGGAUGGAGCUGAAAUCAGUCGAAGAUACCAGCUGGCUGCAACUGUUUAUUAAAAACACAGCACUGUGCAAACACGAAAGUGGACGUAUACGGUGUGACGCCUGCCCGGUGCCGGAAGGUUAAUUGAUGGGGUCAGCGCAAGCGAAGCUCUUGAUCGAAGCCCCGGUAAACGGCGGCCGUAACUAUAACGGUCCUAAGGUAGCGAAAUUCCUUGUCGGGUAAGUUCCGACCUGCACGAAUGGCGUAAUGAUGGCCAGGCUGUCUCCACCCGAGACUCAGUGAAAUUGAACUCGCUGUGAAGAUGCAGUGUACCCGCGGCAAGACGGAAAGACCCCGUGAACCUUUACUAUAGCUUGACACUGAACAUUGAGCCUUGAUGUGUAGGAUAGGUGGGAGGCUUAGAAGUGUGGACGCCAGUCUGCAUGGAGCCGACCUUGAAAUACCACCCUUUAAUGUUUGAUGUUCUAACGUUGACCCGUAAUCCGGGUUGCGGACAGUGUCUGGUGGGUAGUUUGACUGGGGCGGUCUCCUCCUAAAGAGUAACGGAGGAGCACGAAGGUUGGCUAAUCCUGGUCGGACAUCAGGAGGUUAGUGCAAUGGCAUAAGCCAGCUUGACUGCGAGCGUGACGGCGCGAGCAGGUGCGAAAGCAGGUCAUAGUGAUCCGGUGGUUCUGAAUGGAAGGGCCAUCGCUCAACGGAUAAAAGGUACUCCGGGGAUAACAGGCUGAUACCGCCCAAGAGUUCAUAUCGACGGCGGUGUUUGGCACCUCGAUGUCGGCUCAUCACAUCCUGGGGCUGAAGUAGGUCCCAAGGGUAUGGCUGUUCGCCAUUUAAAGUGGUACGCGAGCUGGGUUUAGAACGUCGUGAGACAGUUCGGUCCCUAUCUGCCGUGGGCGCUGGAGAACUGAGGGGGGCUGCUCCUAGUACGAGAGGACCGGAGUGGACGCAUCACUGGUGUUCGGGUUGUCAUGCCAAUGGCACUGCCCGGUAGCUAAAUGCGGAAGAGAUAAGUGCUGAAAGCAUCUAAGCACGAAACUUGCCCCGAGAUGAGUUCUCCCUGACUCCUUGAGAGUCCUGAAGGAACGUUGAAGACGACGACGUUGAUAGGCCGGGUGUGUAAGCGCAGCGAUGCGUUGAGCUAACCGGUACUAAUGAACCGUGAGGCUUAACCUU